rfam:Vibrio aerogenes CECT 7868 genome assembly, contig: 0050
CCAUCACCAUCAUCACCCUUGAAGGUCUUUCGGGGCGGUGGCGCAUACCCGGGAGACAAGAUUCUCCCGGUGGUUAAGCAAGUUUAGAAACCCUCGGGAUUAGCUCCCGGGGGUUUUUUUAU